GUUAACGAGGCGAACCGGGGGAACUGAAACAUCUAAGUACCCCGAGGAAAAGAAAUCAACCGAGAUUCCCCCAGUAGCGGCGAGCGAACGGGGAGCAGCCCAGAGUCUGAAUCAGCUUGUGUGUUAGUGGAACGGUCUGGAAAGUCCGACGGUACAGGGUGAUAGUCCCGUACACCAAAAUGCACAGGCUGUGAACUCGAAGAGUAGGGCGGGACACGUGGUAUCCUGUCUGAAUAUGGGGGGACCAUCCUCCAAGGCUAAAUACUCCUGACUGACCGAUAGUGAACCAGUACCGUGAGGGAAAGGCGAAAAGAACCCCGGCGAGGGGAGUGAAAAAGAACCUGAAACCGUGUACGUACAAGCAGUGGGAGCACCUUUAGGUGUGACUGCGUACCUUUUGUAUAAUGGGUCAGCGACUUAUAUUCUGUAGCAAGGUUAACCGUAUAGGGGAGCCGCAGGGAAACCGAGUCUUAACUGGGCGUUAAGUUGCAGGGUAUAGACCCGAAACCCGGUGAUCUAGCCAUGGGCAGGUUGAAGGUUGGGUAACACUAACUGGAGGACCGAACCGACUAAUGUUGAAAAAUUAGCGGAUGACUUGUGGCUGGGGGUGAAAGGCCAAUCAAACCGGGAGAUAGCUGGUUCUCCCCGAAAGCUAUUUAGGUAGCGCCUCGUGAACUCAUCUUCGGGGGUAGAGCACUGUUUCGGCUAGGGGGUCAUCCCGACUUACCAACCCGAUGCAAACUACGAAUACCGAAGAAUGUUAUCACGGGAGACACACGGCGGGUGCUAACGUCCGUCGUGAAGAGGGAAACAACCCAGACCGCCAGCUAAGGUCCCAAAGUCAUGGUUAAGUGGGAAACGAUGUGGGAAGGCACAGACAGCCAGGAUGUUGGCUUAGAAGCAGCCAUCAUUUAAAGAAAGCGUAAUAGCUCACUGGUCGAGUCGGCCUGCGCGGAAGAUGUAACGGGGCUAAACCAUGCACCGAAGCUGCGGCAGCGACACGAUGUGUUGUUGGGUAGGGGAGCGUUCUGUAAGCCUGCGAAGGUGACCUGUGAGGGUUGCUGGAGGUAUCAGAAGUGCGAAUGCUGACAUAAGUAACGAUAAAGCGGGUGAAAAGCCCGCUCGCCGGAAGACCAAGGGUUCCUGUCCAACGUUAAUCGGGGCAGGGUGAGUCGACCCCUAAGGCGAGGCCGAAAGGCGUAGUCGAUGGGAAACAGGUUAAUAUUCCUGUACUUGGUGUUACUGCGAAGGGGGGACGGAGAAGGCUAUGUUAGCCGGGCGACGGUUGUCCCGGUUUAAGCAUGUAGGCUGGUUAUCCAGGCAAAUCCGGAUAAUCAAGGCUGAGGUGUGAUGACGAGGCACUACGGUGCUGAAGUAACAAAUGCCCUGCUUCCAGGAAAAGCCUCUAAGCAUCAGGUAACAUCAAAUCGUACCCCAAACCGACACAGGUGGUCAGGUAGAGAAUACCAAGGCGCUUGAGAGAACUCGGGUGAAGGAACUAGGCAAAAUGGUGCCGUAACUUCGGGAGAAGGCACGCUGGUGUGUAGGUGAAGCCCCUGCGGGUGGAGCUGAGACCAGUCGAAGAUACCAGCUGGCUGCAACUGUUUAUUAAAAACACAGCACUGUGCAAACACGAAAGUGGACGUAUACGGUGUGACGCCUGCCCGGUGCCGGAAGGUUAAUUGAUGGGGUUAUCCGUAAGGAGAAGCUCUUGAUCGAAGCCCCGGUAAACGGCGGCCGUAACUAUAACGGUCCUAAGGUAGCGAAAUUCCUUGUCGGGUAAGUUCCGACCUGCACGAAUGGCGUAAUGAUGGCCAGGCUGUCUCCACCCGAGACUCAGUGAAAUUGAACUCGCUGUGAAGAUGCAGUGUACCCGCGGCAAGACGGAAAGACCCCGUGAACCUUUACUAUAGCUUGACACUGAACAUUGAGCCUUGAUGUGUAGGAUAGGUGGGAGGCUUUGAAGCGUGGACGCCAGUCUGCGUGGAGCCAACCUUGAAAUACCACCCUUUAAUGUUUGAUGUUCUAACGUUGGCCCCUUAUCGGGGUUGCGGACAGUGUCUGGUGGGUAGUUUGACUGGGGCGGUCUCCUCCCAAAGCGUAACGGAGGAGCACGAAGGUUAGCUAAUCCUGGUCGGACAUCAGGAGGUUAGUGCAAUGGCAUAAGCUAGCUUGACUGCGAGCGUGACGGCGCGAGCAGGUGCGAAAGCAGGUCAUAGUGAUCCGGUGGUUCUGAAUGGAAGGGCCAUCGCUCAACGGAUAAAAGGUACUCCGGGGAUAACAGGCUGAUACCGCCCAAGAGUUCAUAUCGACGGCGGUGUUUGGCACCUCGAUGUCGGCUCAUCACAUCCUGGGGCUGAAGUAGGUCCCAAGGGUAUGGCUGUUCGCCAUUUAAAGUGGUACGCGAGCUGGGUUUAGAACGUCGUGAGACAGUUCGGUCCCUAUCUGCCGUGGGCGCUGGAGAAUUGAGGGGGGCUGCUCCUAGUACGAGAGGACCGGAGUGGACGCAUCACUGGUGUUCGGGUUGUCAUGCCAAUGGCACUGCCCGGUAGCUAAAUGCGGAAGAGAUAAGUGCUGAAAGCAUCUAAGCACGAAACUUGCCCCGAGAUGAGUUCUCCCUGAGACUUUAAGUCUCCUGAAGGAACGUUAAAGACGAUGACGUUGAUAGGCCGGGUGUGUAAGCGCAGCGAUGCGUUGAGCUAACCGGUACUAAUGAACCGUGAGGCUUAACC
rnacentral:rRNA from 1 species